AAGGCUCUCACUUCGUUGAUGAUGUUGGUAUCUUGGGAGAUUUGGAAGGAAAGCAAUACGAGAGUUUUUCGAAACACCGCCGCACCCACCAUGUUAAUUGUCGGGAGGAUCAAGGAAGAGGCCCAUCUUUGGGCUCUAGCGGGUGCGAAAUACUUGAGUAAUGUAAUGCCGCGAGAGUAG
rnacentral:rRNA from 1 species